UGCUUCCAAACCAUGUGACUUGGACUCGUUUGAAAAAGAUUAUAUUUCAUUCCCCCUCCCCCAUUCCCGUGUUUUGUCCCUAAGCAUCCUUUCCCCACUUCCCUAGGGCACUCGCCUUUCCGGAAAUGCCCUCGCCCAGCGGGCAGCCUCCACAUCCCGAGGAGGUCUCAGCCUCACCCUCCCAGCUGCCACGCCCUGACCUGGUCCUCACCAGCUUCUGCCCACCCAGAGCCUUUCUGGGGCACAAUGUCAAGCUCUUCAUGGAGUGGAGGAUGUAGGCGUGGAUCAGAGAAUCGCCAAAGUGUGAUCCAGCCAUGAUAAAGAGGUGCCUGAUGCUCUCAAAAUUGAAGAUGGUGAUCUGACCUGCUGUGAAGCAGUCAGGGAGGAUACAGGUUCGCUGCUGCUGCAAGGCCGGUACCUUAGCUACUUGGUCCUUCAACACACCCUUUCUCAGCAGGCUUCCCUCAUCUGACCCGUCCUAUGCUGAUAUGCCAUUCUGAACCUGCGAGCCAUGACUUUCCUAUCUCAUUUGUCACUAAGAGACCUUCUUGUCACUUAAGUGUGCUUCUUGCCUCUUAUCAAUUAAACUAUGGUAUAAAUUUCUAAGGGGGCUUCCCUGGUGGCUCAGAUAGGAAAGAAUUCACCUGCAGUGUGGGAGACCUGGGAUCAAUCCCUGGGUUUCGAAGAUUCCCUGGAGGAGGGCAUCACAACCCACUCCAGUAUCCUUGCCUGGAGAAUCCCAUGGACAGAGGAGUCUGGCGGGUUACAGUCCAAUCCAUGGGGGCGCAAAGAGUUGGACAGGACUGAGCGACUAAGCACAGCACUGCACAUAAGCUUCUAAAAGGCAGAAUCCGUGUAAUUCUGCAAUGCCGCACCUUGAAGAACAAGAUAGAUUUUAACAAAUCCCUUUAAAUUUAAGUGCCAGUGAUCUUUAUCAUCCUGAGAAGCCUCUAAGGUUAC
rnacentral:lncRNA from 1 species